rnacentral:rRNA from 1 species
AAAUGGUAGAACCGGGGUAAGCGUGUAGGAGGAGGACCAGGUAAAUCCGGGCCUCAUAAACUCUGAGACGUGAUACCGAGCCGCUUCAGGCGAAGUCAUUGAUCCUAUGCUGCCUAGAAAAGCCCAGCAGCGAGUUGACAUGGUGCCCGUACCCCAAACCAACACAGGUGGACAGGUAGAGCAUACCAAGGCGAGUGGGAUAACUAUGGUUAAGGAACUCGGCAAAUUGCCUCCGUAACUUCGGGAGAAGGAGGACCCCAGUAGCGUGAUGAGACUCGCUCUCUGAGCGUGAAGGGGUGGCACAAAAUUGAGGGAGGCGACUGUUUACCAAAAACACAGCAGCGUGCUAAGCCGUAAGGCGCUGUAUACGCUGUGACUCCUGCCCGGUGCUGGAAGGUUACGGGGAUGGGUUAGUCCUUCGGGACGAAGCUCUGAACCUAAGCCCCAGUAAACGGCGGCCGUAACUAUAACGGUCCUAAGGUAGCGAAAUUCCUUGUCGGGUAAGUUCCGACCUGCACGAAUGGAGUAACGACUUCCCUACUGUCUCAACCAUAGACCCAGCGAAAUUGAAGUACGAGUAAAGAUGCUCGUUAGCUGCAGAAGGACGGAAAGACCCCGUGGACCUUUACUAUAACUUGAUGUUGUGUUUUGCCAUAUGUUGUGUAGGAUAGGUGGGAGACUUGGAAGCAUGGACGCUAGUCUGUGUGGAGUCAUCGUUGAAAUACCACCCUGCAUAUGGUGAGGCUCUAACCUAGACCCGUUAUCCGGGUUGGGGACAGCGUCAGGCGGGUAGUUUAACUGGGGCGGUUGCCUCCUAAAGAGUAACGGAGGCGCCCAAAGGUUCCCUCAGCCUGGUUGGCAAUCAGGCGUUGAGUGCAAUGGCAAAAGGGAGCUUGACUGCGAGACCUACAAGUCGAGCAGGAGCGAAAGCUGGGCAUAGUGAUCCGGCGGUUGCGUGUGGAAGCGCCGUCGCUCAACGGAUAAAAGGUACCCCGGGGAUAACAGGCUAAUCUUGCCCAAGCGUCCAUAGCGACGGCAAGGUUUGGCACCUCGAUGUCGGCUCAUCGCAUCCUGGGGCUGAAGCAGGUCCCAAGGGUUGGGCUGUUCGCCCAUUAAAGCGGUACGCGAGCUGGGUUCAGAACGUCGUGAGACAGUUCGGUCCCUAUCCUCUGCAGCCGGAGGUGAAUUGAGGAAAGCUGUCCCUAGUACGAGAGGACCGGGACGGACGCAGCUCUCGUGUGCCAGUUGUCCUGCCAAGGGCAUGGCUGGUUAGCGACCUGCGGAAAGGAUAACCGCUGAAAGCAUCUAAGCGGGAAGCCUCUUCCAAGAUGAAUUCACCCACAGGGUUAACCUGGUAAGGCCCGUGGUAGACCACCACGUUGAUAGGCCGGAAGUGUAAGCGUGGCAACACGUUCAGCUGACCGGUACUAAUCGGCCGAGGGCUCG